GUGACAUCAUACAGACGCCUGCAAAGGACCACAUGGUCGUGAAGCAAAAUGAGCUUCAGAGCGCUGCUACAACCACAGCGUGAAUGAUCAAUCUAACCCAGAGUCAUGAGGACAUCUGCAUUACUACAGUGAGAAAAUUAUUACACCAAGUGCUGUUCAUCAAUAGAUGGAAGUGUCAUGGCAGACACCAUCUCUCUUUUCUCACCGGACAGAGAGGAAACAAGAUGGAGUGCCUCAAAGGAAUUCAGCAGCAGGUGUGUGUGUGCAUUAGGAGGACAGCAGGUUGAAAGCCUUCCUUCUUUCAACCUCCAGAAUCCAGCACACAUACACACAGUUGUGUGGCGAGCAUGCUCAGUAGCUUGCUUCAGUCAAGGUCAGUGCUGAGAGGCAGGUGAUGACAUCAUUACUACAGCAGCUCUGUUAUUUCACCGAUCAAUAGAGAAGCAGCAAUGAGUUCAUCUGAGCUAAUGCCAGAUGGCUGGAGCCACCCA